rnacentral:rRNA from 1 species
GAUGAACGCUGGCGGCGUGCCUAAUACAUGCAAGUCGAGCGAAGCGGGGAGGGGGGAGUAAAACGUGGAGAACCUCCUAUAAGACUGGGGAAACUUCGGGAAACCGGAGCUAAAACGGAUACUUAUAGCUGGAUGCGCGCUGCAGUAGCUAGUUGGGAAGGUAACGGCUUACCAAGGCAACGAUGCAUCGCCGACCUGGGAGGGUGAGCGGCCACAAUGGAACUGAGAAACGGUCCAGACUCCUACGGGAGGGAGCAGUAGGGAAUCUUCCGAAAUGGGCGAAAGCCUGACGGAGCAACGGCGCGUGAGUGAGGACGGCCUUCGGGUUGUAAAGCUCUGUUAAGCGGGACGCGGUACCGGAAUAGAAAGCCACGGCUAACUACGUGCCAGCAGCCGCGGUAAUUC